UGCUGGUCUGUUUCUGGGCGCAAGCUUCAUCAGCCUCGUAGAGAUCAUGUACUUCGGACUGGAGAGGGUGUUUAAGAAAGUAUUCCAGAAACCAGAGAAGAAGACUCACCAGGCGAAAAAGCCAAGGAAUUCAUACGAAGCCACAAGAGUAUUAGAGCUAACAAAAAUUCUAGAAGAAAACAGAGGAUAUGAACUGAAUACUAAGAUAAAGGUGUUUAAAUAUUAAAUAAAUAUAUACUAUUAUAUAAA